rnacentral:rRNA from 1 species
GAUGAACGCUGGCGGCGUGCUUAACACAUGCAAGUCGAACGGAAAGGCCCAAGCUUGCUUGGGUACUCGAGUGGCGAACGGGUGAGUAACACGUGGGUGAUCUGCCCUGCACUUCGGGAUAAGCCUGGGAAACUGGGUCUAAUACCGGAUAGGACGAUGGUUUGGAUGCCAUUGUGGAAAGUUUUUUCGGUGUGGGAUGAGCUCGCGGCCUAUCAGCUUGUUGGUGGGGUAAUGGCCUACCAAGGCGUCGACGGGUAGCCGGCCUGAGAGGGUGUACGGCCACAUUGGGACGGAGAGACGGACCAGACUCCUACGGGAGGCAGCAGUGGGGAAUAUUGCACAAUGGGCGCAAGCCUGAGGCAGCGACGCCGCGUGGGGGAUGACGGCCUUCGGGUUGUAAACUCCUUUCGCUAGGGACGAAGCGUUUUUGUGACGGUACCUGGAGAAGAAGCACCGGCUAACUACGUG